UACGUAGGGACCGAGCGUUGUCCGGAUUCAUUGGGCGUAAAGGGCGCGUAGGUGGUUCUGUAUGUCUACCGUGAAAGCAUACAGCUCAACUGUAUUUUGUCGGUAGAAACUGCAGGACUUGAGGCUGGGAGGGGCUGGUGGAAUUCCCUGUGUAGCGGUGAAAUGCGUAGAGAUGGGGGAGAACACUCGUGGCGAAGGCGGCCAGCUAGACCAGUUCUGACACUGAGGCGCGACAGCGUGGGGAGCAAACAGG
rnacentral:rRNA from 1 species